GAAACAAUACUAAUGAUAAAUAAAUUUAAGGAAAUUUGCUUCCUUAAAGCAUAAAGACUAAUUUGCUGAUGGUGGUAAAAACUUUGGAAAAUCACAUAGAAAAACCAAGUCUCUUGGACAAGUCAGCAUCAAGCUAUCCUAUUAUUGACCCUUUCAUUAUUCUCAUUGCCAUGGUGUAGAAAAGGGAAGGGUUUCUGCAGGAGUGGAAAAAUUCUAAUAUUAUUGCUUAUAAAUCUGAGUGAAUAAUUUGAAUGCAUGUGUCCCUCAUAAAAUCUCUAAAGAUUCUUCCAGUCAGUAACAGUUUCAAUUCCUUAAAGUUAUACCAAAAACGUCCACAGCUCAAAAAUGUCCACAGCUAUUAAAAUGAGGGUUAGGUGAGGUGUGAAUAGAACCUGUAUCCAUAUGCAGGCAUUCUAUAUUAGUCAGGGUUCUCCAGAGAAACAGAAAUGAUGGAUAUAUAUUUAGAGUGGUAUGUAUUAUCAUCAUCUCUCAGUAUACACAUGGGAGAUUGAUUCCAGGACUUCCUGAGUAUACAAAAAUCUGCACAUACUCAAGUCCCACAGUGAUCCUGCGGAACUCAUAUAUAUUAAAAAAAAUUGUCCCUUUGAAUACACAGUUUUUGCAUCCCUUGAAUACCGUAUUUCCAAUCUUCUUUUGGUUCGAAAAUAAUAUGUGUAUAAGUGGAUGUGGACAGUUCCAAGCCAUGUUCAAGGGUCAACUAUAUAAGAAAUUGACUCAUGUGAUUAUGAAGGCCGAGAAGCCUCACAAUCUUCCAUCUGAAGUUGGAGAUCCAGGAAAGCUGGUAGUGUAAAUUCUAGUCUAAGUCCAAAGGCCUGACAACCUGGAGAAUCACUGGUAUAAGUACCAGUCAAAGGGCAAGAGCAGACUGAUAUCUCAGUUCAGGCAGUCAUACAGAGAGGGAAUUCGACCCUCCUCUGUGUUUUUGUUCUAUUUGAGCUCUGAAGGGGUUGGAUGAUGUCCACUCACACUUGGGAGGGCAAUCUUCUUUCCUCAGUCCACCAAUUUAAAUGCUUAUCUCUUCUGAAAAUAUCUUCACAGACAUAUCCAGAAAUACUGUUUUACCAAGUUUCUGGGCAUCCCUUUGGCCCAGUAAAGAUGAUGCAUACAAUUAAUUAUCAUAUGUCCACUUUCACAGUGAAUAGCCAUCAAACCCUUGUAUGUUAUUCAUCUCGCUGGGCCUUUUAUCAUGUUUGUUACAAAUCCAAAAGCAAUAACAUGACAGAAGUUUAAGUGAUGUCCAAACAUAGCAGCAUCUGUCAGGAAGAAAAAAAAUGUGACAAUAGAAUGUGUAAAAGGGGAUGUGGGAUGGGAUUAAAAUGAGGAAAGAAAGAAUAGAUAAGAGUCUGGUGAAGGAAAGCUUACACAUUGCAUCUCAGUUUCUGACCACUGCUGCCAAGGCAGAUAGGCAACAUCUAUUCUCCACCCUGAUGUCAAGCAUCAUUAUUUUCAGAGGUUGAUAGCAGGUGAGAGAUGUGUUCUAAUUUGCAGAAUAAGAAGGCUAUCACACAUACAAGUUAUACAACAAGUUAGAUGCUGGAGAGUCAUCAAUGUCCUAGUAAUACUACAUAAUUCAUGUAAUCAGUUUCCUUAAUUGGAUUCUAUUAUCUCACUGAAUUAUGUCAGAAAGUGUUAAUGUGGAAAAAUCCAUCAAUAAAUCCAUCUGAAAACUUUUGAUGACUAAGGGAUCAGAAAAAUAUCUAGAGCCAUAGUAUUUGGUAGCUGUACCAUUUCAACAGUGGGAGUUCACAUGAGCAAUCUGCCAAAGAGGUUGUUAGAAAUAAAAACCCAACCCUCAUCAGUUUCCUGAAUAUGGAUCUCCAUUUUAACAGAUCCCCAGCUGAAUCAUGUAUAUUAACGAUUGAAAUGCACUUGUUUAGAACGCUAACUAUGGAGUCAGUUUUUUUUUGUGUAUGUUUAAAUACUAGCUUUGACACUUGUUAAAUGGAUAACUUUGGGCAAAUUCUUAAACUCUGUCUCAGUUUCUUCAUAUUGCGAAUGAGGUACAAAUUGGAUGUACUUUCAGGGUCAUUGUGAUGGUUAAAUUAGUUAGUGCAUAUUACAGAUUGAGUAUCCCUUAUUCAACAUGCUUAGGACCAGAAGUGUUUUGAAUUUUGGACUUUUUUUUUCAGAUUUUGAAAUACUUGCAUAUAUACAAAAUAAGAUAUCUUGAGGAUGGUAUCCAAGUAUACUCAGGAAACUCAUUAUGUCUUAUAUACACCUUGUAUGCAUAGUCUGAAGCUGAUAUUAUACAAUAUUUAUAAUAAUUUUGUGGAUGAAACAAAGUAUGGGUACACUGAACCAUUAGGAAGCAAAGGUGUCACUACCCCAUCAACACAUGUGGAUAAUCUGUGGCUGUCUGGCAUCACCGUCAUUCCUGACUCUGAAUUGACAUGCUACCAAAAUCAAUUUUUUAUAAUUGGUGGUAAAAAUAUGACAUACCAUUAAUAUAGUGGAAAACAGUAUUUUCAGGGCAAUGAAGCAGCACAGCAGCAUCACCAGAAUACCUGUAUCAGCUGUUAAACAACAGCAAUAACAAGCAAUGGUAGUCUUUCAGUCUCCACUUACAAUGCUGUGUUUUGACUCAAGGUUAACUAUAUGCUAUAUGCUACAUUUUACUUUUUUUUUUUUUUUUUGAUGAGAAGAAACAUCCGAAGCAUAGAAGAAGUGAGUCCUUUAGGAAUAAGAAGGCAUUUUGUUGCAUGAAUUUUUAAAAUGUUUCCUGCAGACU
rnacentral:lncRNA from 1 species